GGCCGGUUGGCUUAAUGGCAAAGCGCCAGUUUCCGGUAUGUUUAUAUGCCUAUAGCUGGAGAUUGCAUGUUCGAGUCCUGCACUGGUCG